rnacentral:rRNA from 1 species
UACGUAGGUGACAAGCGUUGUCCGGAUUUACUGGGCGUAAAGAGCGCGCAGGCGGUCGUGCAAGUCGCGUGUGAAAGCCCCCGGCUCAACUGGGGAGGGUCACGCGAUACUGCUCGACUCGAAGGCAGGAGAGGGAAGUGGAAUUCCCGGUGUAGUGGUGAAAUGCGUAGAUAUCGGGAAGAACACCCGUGGCGAAGGCGGCUCUCUGGGACGGUACUGACGCUGAGACGCGAAAGCGUGGGGAGCGAACAGG